UCUUGGUGGCCGAAUGGAAGGCUGUAGACUGUAGAUCUAUUCAUGAUUAGAUAUUAAUCUCAAGAA
rnacentral:tRNA from 1 species